rnacentral:sRNA from 1 species
UCAUCUUGGCCCGUUUGCGGUAGACCGCGC